rnacentral:rRNA from 1 species
GACGAACGCUGGCGGCGUGCUUAACACAUGCAAGUCGAACGGAAAGGCCCUGCUUUUGUUGGGUGCUCGAGUGGCGAACGGGUGAGUAACACGUGAGUAACCUGCCCUUGACUUUGGGAUAACUUCAGGAAACUGGGGCUACUACCGGAUAGGAGCUCCUGCUGCAUGGUGGGGGUUGGAAAGUUUCGGCGGUUGGGGAUGGACUCGCGGCUUAUCAGCUUGUUGGUGGGGUAGUGGCUUACCAAGGCUUCGACGGAUAGCCGGCCUGAGAGGGUGACCGGCGACAUUGGGACUGAGAUACGGCGCAGACUCCUACGGGAGACAGCAGUGGGGAAUAUUGCACAGUGGGCGGGAGCCUGAGGCAGCGACGCCGCGUGCGGGAUGACGGCCUUCGGGUUGUAAACCGCUUUCGCCUGUGACGAAGCGUGAGUGACGGUAAUGGGUGAAGAAGCACCGGCUAACUACGUG